GCAUUAUUUUCAUUUACAUAUUGCAAAGCAUUAAAAAGAAAAAAAAAUGUUUGGUCUUUUAGUAAUUUUAUUUGAAGACAGAAAGGAAGUAAGUAAUUUCUUCUGAGAAAAUUAUUACAGUGUUUUCUUGUUAAGACAAACAGCACAAGAUAACCUACUACAAUCAGAAAAUCUACACAAAUGACAAUAUAAAAUAUAACAAAAAUUCCUUAAUAUGCCAUAUUGGCUGCUUUUAUUAUUUCAGUUCUUUAUUUGCUCACUUUUAUCAGGUGAGUAAAUUCACUGUAUACUAUCCUUGGCAGAUUGUCUUAUCAGUCUAAAUAAGCUCACAAGCAGACAAAUUGUAACACAGUAAAACUUUACAGUAACUUUUCAACAAUACCUUACAUAAAAAAUCACAACAAUAACUUUUCAACAAUACCUUACAUAAAAAAUCACGAGCCUUGAGGAUACGCAGUUACAAUCAUAACAGUUGGAUGAAGAAUUCCAUAUGAAUUCUUUGGUGAUGACAUUUACAUUUAAUGAAUAACAACAUUCUCCUACCAGCCUGGAAUCCACAUAAUAUAUUCCUAGAAAUAACCAAAGUUAGAUCUGUUAUUUUCAACAAUAAGGCAAAGACAAGAGCAGUAUCAGCUAAAAGCAAACUGCUACCAUUAUAAAUUCAUACACGACCUUAAAUGUGGAGUACGCAAGUGGUCCCACUUAUAAAUAAUGAAAGAACAACAGACACAUUCAACUGCUGAAAUUCCUGCCAGCAGAGAAAACAGCAGAUAUAAAACAUAAAAAAUUAUUGAUUUAGUUCAUUGUUCAAUUUAACUAUUAAUGAUUAAAGCCUACGUUAUUUAGACAAAUGCUCUUUCACUGAACACCAUUCGUCACAAAGGAUUCAACCCUAAAACUAAACAUUAUGGAUCUGCAGACACAUAAAUUGUGCCUGAUGUAAAGGUAAAAGGCAGUGUGAACACAUCAAAUGUCAUAUUUUUGACUCAAUCAUUUGUCCAGCUAUUUCAGCUAUAUAAUUCUCAAUUAACAAAGAUGUCAUUACAUGUAACAUGUAUGACAUUAAACCAUACAGGCAGUACGAAUUCAUAUAACUGUGCAAUUUAAUCAAUCUGGGACCUUGUACAACCAGCAACAGCAGCAGCAGCAUGGACAUGUGUACACAGAAACAGAUAAGACAACAGGGAUUAUUAGCUCCCUGAAAAUAAUGUUAUAAUCAGAAAUUGUUGGUGUCAGACUUGAAAGACAUUUUUUCUGAGAUAUAAAGAUACAGAUCUGAGGCACCCCUAUGUCCUAUAGCUCUAUACACACUUUUAUUUUAAGAAGUUAUAAGAAGAUAUAUUUAAUUUUAAAGCUUGCUGCUAAAGGUGAACUGUACAAAGUGCAUAGUGCAUGCCCAAAUGACCAUUUUAUCAAACCUAUAGCAGCAAGACAUAUUUACCGGUUGCAAACGCCUUGUAGUAUUUCCAUUAAAAUAAUAUGAUUCAUCAAGCCAAAGACUGAGAGUUUGCUUCUUACUAAUUAUGGUAAAAUAAAAAUGGCUCAUUUUGGUUGUUCUGUAGAUGGACCAAGCAAUCAGUGGAAGACAAUGUCUGGCAUCUUUGACUAUCUUCCUCCAGAGAUGGCAGAAGGAAAGCCUGAUUAUCAUUGUGUCUCCAAUCUCUCAGCAAUUUACAGAACUACAAAUUUGUUAAUAUUUUGUUCUUUAGGAAACAAGCACCUGUAAUACUGGACAAGCUUAACAAAUUAAAGUACAGUUUAUACAUCCAACAUGAACUAAACAGAGACAACAUUAGGUAUCUACAUUAUCUUAUGUUUAAAAAUUGUUUACACUUUUGUCACAGAACUUUUACUAUAAAACAGUUGCUGGUAAACUUUAACUUUGUUAUUAAAAACCUGUACAGUCAUCUAGCAUUUUGUCUAGUGUUGCAUCAGAACAGGUGUUAAUGCAUAUCCAAAAAAAGUAUAAUAUUUAAAUUUAUUUACAGAAGUCUGUAAUAUUUUCACUUCAAAAUAGUAACCAAAGUACUGAAAAAAUGUAAACAAGGGCUCCUAUUUCCUUUUAUACAAUAUUUCGUCACUGUCUUACUCCAUAAAUACAAAAUUACUUUCCUACUUCAUAUACAUACCAGAACUGUUUUUGAGUAAAACUGGAAAACACACUUUCUCACUACUGUGAAUUUUAGUGUUGAAUAUUGCUCAGAUGAGCCUAAGUGGGUGACAAACUGUAAUGAAGCUGAUGCCUCUCAAAUUCUACAUAUGUAUCAUAUUACAUAAAUUUAUCUAUCAUUCAAACUUUGAUAAAGUAAAGCUGUUCAUAAAAAAAAAAAAAAAAAAAAA